UACGAAGGGGGCUAGCGUUGCUCGGAAUCACUGGGCGUAAAGCGCACGUAGGCAGAUUGUUAAGUCAGGGGUGAAAUCCUGGAGCUCAACUCCAGAACUGCCUUUGAUACUGGCGAUCUCGAGUCCGGGAGAGGUGAGUGGAACUGCGAGUGUAGAGGUGAAAUUCGUAGAUAUUCGCAAGAACACCAGUGGCGAAGGCGGCUCACUGGCCCGGUACUGACGCUGAGGUGCGAAAGCGUGGGGAGCAAACAGG
rnacentral:rRNA from 1 species